CUACGGGUGGCUGCAGUGGGGAAUAUUGGACAAUGGGGGAAACCCUGAUCCAGCAAUGCCGCGUGUGUGAAGAAGGCCUGCGGGUUGUAAAGCACUUUCGGUUGGGAGGACUGCUUCUAGCACUAAUAUUGUUGGAAGUUGACGUUACCUUCAGAAGAAGCACCGGGUAACUCCGUGCCAGCAGCCGCGGUAAUACGGAGGGGUGCAAGCGUUAAUCGGAAUUACUGGGCGUAAAGCGCGCGUAGGCGGCUAGAUCAGUCGGGUGUGAAAGCCCCGGGCUUAACCUGGGAACUGCAUCCGAUACUGUCUAGCUUGAGUACAGGAGAGGAGAGUGGAAUUCCACAUGUAGCGGUGAAAUGCGUAGAUAUGUGGAGGAACACCAAUGGCGAAGGCAGCUCUCUGGCCUGAUACUGACGCUGAGGUGCGAAAGCGUGGGGAGCAAACAGGAUUAGAUACCCCUGUAGUC
rnacentral:rRNA from 1 species